rnacentral:rRNA from 1 species
AAAUUGAAGAGUUUGAUCAUGGCUCAGAUUGAACGCUGGCGGCAGGCCUAACACAUGCAAGUCGAGCGGUAGCACAGAGAGCUUGCUCUCGGGUGACGAGCGGCGGACGGGUGAGUAAUGUCUGGGAAACUGCCUGAUGGAGGGGGAUAACUACUGGAAACGGUA